rnacentral:rRNA from 1 species
CACCAUGGGAUUCAGCAGUAAUUAAAAUUAAGCCUAUAAACGAAAGUUUGACUAAGUUAAGCUAAAUUAAGGGUUGGUAAAUUUCGUGCCAGCCACCGCGGUUAUAUGAUUAACCCCAGUUAAUGAAACACAGCGUAAAGCAUGAUUAAGAGACUAGCUAGAUAAGAUUAAAAUAAUACUAAACCAUAAAAAGCCUUGGUAACAAUGAAAGUCAAACACGAAAGUAAUCUUAAGUUAUCUGAAUUCACGAUAGCUAAGACCCAAACUGGGAUUAGAUACCCCACUAUGCUUAGCCCUAAGCAUAAACAUUCAAUAAACAAGGAUGUUCGCCAGAGUACUACUAGCAAUGGCCUAAAACUCAAAGGACUUGGUGGUGCUUUACAUCCCUCUAGAGGAGCCUGUUCUAUAACUGAUAAACCCCCAUACACCUCACUACCUUUAGCAAUUAUCAGCAUAUAUACCGCCAUCUGCAGCAAACCCUAAAAAUGUCCUACAGUAAGCAAGAAAAUUCUACAUUAAUACCUUAGGUCAAGGUGUAGCCUAUAAGGUGGGAAGUAAUGGGCUACAUUUUCUACUUUCUAGAACAAAUCUCCACGAUAGCUUUUAUGAAACUUAAAGCAUAAGGCGGAUUUAGUAGUAAGUUAAGAAUAGAGAGCUUAACUGAAUCGGGCAAUAAAGCAUGCACACACUGCCCAUCACCCUCUUCAAAUAUACUUUCACUCAACCCCAUACAUAAUCAAUUAAAUCAAAUUAUAUAAGAAGAGACAAGUCGUAAAAUGGUAAACAUACUGGAAAGUGUGUUUGGGAUAACC